AAGGAACUUGCGCAAAUGAUUUUGCAUAGCAACAAAGAUGAACAAUAGUACAAAGCUGAAAAAAGAUAUUUGCAGCAUGGUAGACCUUUGAUGUCACAUUUGUGAUGCCUGAUUAGAAAACGAGACAUAUAUAUCCCUCAAAUAAAAAUAAUGGUGCUUGUGCAGGUCCAAGGAGAGUUAAUUUGAAAAGAAAAAAAAUGCUU
rnacentral:lncRNA from 1 species